UGCUCCUACGGGGCGCAGCAGUGGGGAAUAUUGCACAAUGGGGGAAACCCUGAUGCAGCGACGCCGCGUGAGUGAAGAAGUAUUUAGGUAUGUAAAGCUCUAUCAGCAGGGAAGAAAAUGACGGUACCUGACUAAGAAGCCCCGGCUAACUACGUGCCAGAAGCCGCGGUAAUACGUAGGAGGCAAGCGUUAUCCGGAUUUACUGGGUGUAAAGGGAGCGUAGAGGGCGCGGCACGUCUGAAGUGAAAGGCAGGGGCUU
rnacentral:rRNA from 1 species